rnacentral:tRNA from 1 species
GCACCCGUAGAUCAACUGGAUAGAUCGCCACCCUCCGAAGGUGGAAGUUACAGGUUCGAAUCCUGUCGGGUGCGCCA